AUGCAGGUGAAGGAAAGUCAAGAAGUCAGUGGACGAAGUAACUUGAGAUGUGGUGGAAAUAGCAAAAGAGAUGUUGCUGAUGCAGCCAAAUUAACAAUGAAUGGAACUUCCUCUGCAGGAACCCUAGCUGUGUCACAUGACCCAGUCAAGCCAGUAACUACCAGUCCUCUACCAGCAGAGACGGAUAUUCCUCUAUUCUCAGGUCAGAAGUCCUGCUGGAAGUGCAGUGAGCCUUAUUCCUGAAGAUGGCCUUGUUCCUAUUCUCAUCUCUACUGGUGUAAAAGGAGACUAUACUGUGGAAGAGAAACCAUCACAUUUAUUUCAGUAAUGCAGCAGUUGGAGGAUGGUGGCCCUGACCCACCUGUAUUUGUUUUAAAUGCACAUUUGUUGUCAAUGCUUAAAAUUGUAAAUUAUAUGAACAGGAAGUGCUGGUGUUUUACAACCAAGGGAAUGCAUGCAGUGGGUCAGUCUGAGAUAGUCAUUCUUCUACAGUGUCUAUCGGAUGGAAAGUGUUUGCCAAAGGAUGUCUUUAAUCACUUUGUGUGACUUUAUCAGGAUGCUCUGGCAGGGAAUAUGGUGGGCAACUUGGGACACUUCUUCUUUAGUCAAUGUUUCCUUGGCAGUAAAAAACAUGGUGGAUUCUUAUAUGUGACAUCUACCUACCAGUCAUUGCAAGACCUAGUACUCCCAACCCCACCUUACUUCUUUGGGAUUCUUAUCCAGAAAUGGCAAGCUCCUAGGGCUAAAGUGUUUCCUAUCCAUCUGAUGUUGAGACUUGGAGCUGAAUAUCUAUUUUAUCCAUGCCCACUAUUCAGUGUCAGAUCUCAGAAGCCAUUAUUUGGAGAGAUGGGGCAUAUCAUCAUGAAUCUUCUUGCAGAGUUCAGAAAUUAUCAGUAUACCUUGUCAGUUCAAGGUUGGUGGUUGAUAUGGAAGUUUAGAAAACCGGCAUAAAAAUUCCCAGCAACAGAUAAAAUGAGAUGAUGAAAGCCAUGAACAAGUCCAAUGAGCAUGUCCUGGCAGGAGGUGCCUGCUUCAAUGAAAAGGCAGAUUCUUAUCUUGUGUAUGUGCAGAAUGAUGAUGGAAAUGAUCAGACCCAGGCUAUCAGUAUUCACAAUCAGCCCAGAAAAGUGACUGGUGCCAGUUUCUUUGUGUUCAGUGGCACUCUGAAAUCCUCUUCUGGAUACCUUGCCAAGUCCAGUCCAGUAUUAUGGAAGAUGGCGUUAUGGUCCAGAUCACUGCAGAGAACAUGGAUUCCUUGAGGCAGGCACUGCGAGAGAUGAAGGACUUCAGCAUCACCUGUGGGAAGGCGGACGCAGAGGAUCCCCAGGAACACAUCCACAUCCAAUGGGUGGAUGAUGACAAGAACGUUAGCAAGGGUGUCGUAAGUCCUAUAGAUGGGAAGUCCAUGGAGACUAUAACACAUGUGAAGAUAUUCCAUGGAUCAGAAUGUAAAGCAAAUGGUAAAGUCAUCAGAUGGACAGAGGUGUUUUUCCUAGAAAAUGAUGACCAGCACAAUUGCCUCAGUGAUCCUGCAGAUCACAGUAGAUUGACUGAGCAUGUUACCAAGGCUUUUUGCCUUGCUCUCUGUCCUCACCUGAAGCUUCUGAAGGAAGAUGGAAUGACCAAACUGGGACUACGUGUGACACUUGAUUCAGAUCAGGUCGGCUAUCAAGCAGGGAGAAAUGGCCAGCACCUUCCCUCGCAGUACAUGAAUGAUCUGGACAGCGCCUUGGUGCCAGUGAUCCAUGGAGGGGCCUGCCAGCUCAGUGAGGGCUCUGUCGUCAUGGAACUCAUUGUUAUUUUUAAAAGUUGCCGUUUGGUCCAAGUGACUGUUCAUGAACAUACGGGAUCUGGCUAA